AUGAACGCUGGCGGCGUGCCUAAUACAUGCAAGUCGAGCGAACAGACGAGGAGCUUGCUCCUCUGACGUUAGCGGCGGACGGGUGAGUAACACGUGGAUAACCUACCUAUAAGACUGGGAUAACUUCGGGAAACCGGAGCUAAUACCGGAUAAUAUAUUGAACCGCAUGGUUCAAUAGUGAAAGACGGUUUUGCGGUCACUUAUAGAUGGAUCCGCGCCGCAUUAGCUAGUUGGUAAGGUAACGGCUUACCAAGGCAACGAUGCGUAGCCGACCUGAGAGGGUGAUCGGCCACACUGGAACUGAGACACGGUCCAGACUCCUACGGGAGGCAGCAGUAGGGAAUCUUCCGCAAAGGGCGAAAGCCUGACGGAGCAACGCCGCGUGAGUGAUGAAGGUCUUCGGAUCGUAAAACUCUGUUAUUAGGGAAGAACAAAUGUGUAAGUAACUAUGCACGUCUUGACGGUACCUAAUCAGAAAGCCACGGCUAACUACGUG
rnacentral:rRNA from 1 species